GGACCAGCUCAGACCUCAUAUUAGUGAUAAAUGAUGUUUGUGUCAGCAGGUCGGCGAGGAACCCUAACGUUCCUUCAGCAGGUCGGCGAGGAACCCUAACGUUCCUUCAGCAGGUCGGCGAGGAACCCUAACGUUCCUUCAGCAGGUCGGCGAGGAACCCCAACGUUCCUUCAGCAGGUCGGCGAGGAACCCUAACGUUCCUUCAGCAGGUCGGCGAGGAACCCCAACGUUCCUUCAGCAGGUCGGCGAGGAACCCUAACGUUCCUUCAGCAGGUCGGCGAGGAACCCCAACGUUCCUUCAGCAGGUCGGCGAGGAACCCUAACGUUCCUUCAGCAGGUCGGCGAGGAACCCCAACGUUCCUUCAGCAGGUCGGCGAGGAACCCCAACGUUCCUUCAGCAGGUCGGCGAGGAACCCCAACGUUCCUUCAGCAGGUCGGCGAGGAACCCUAACGUUCCUUCAGCAGGUCGGCGAGGAACCCUAACGUUCCUUCAGCAGGUCGGCGAGGAACACUAACGUUCCUUCAGCAGGUCGGCGAGGAACCCUAACGUUCCUUCAGCAGGUCGGCGAGGAACACUAACGUUCCUUCAGAAGGUCGGCGAGGAACACUAACGUUCCUUCAGAAGGUUGGUGAGGAACACUAACGUUCCUUCAGAAGGUCGGCGAGGAACACUAACGUUCCUUCAGCAGGUCGGCGAGGAACCCUAACGUUCCUUCAGAAGGUUGGUGAGGAACCCUAACGUUCCUUCAGAAGGUUGGUGAGGAACCCUAACGUUCCUUCAGAAGGUCGGCGAGGAACACUAAUGUUCCUUCAGAAGGUCGGUGAGGAACACUAACGUUCCUUCAGAAGGUUGGUGAGGAACCCUAACGUUCCUUCAGAAGGUCGGCGAGGAACACUAACGUUCCUUCAGAAGGUUGGCGAGGAACACUAACGUUCCUUCAGCAGGUCGGCGAGGAACAUUAACGUUCCUUCAGAAGGUCGGCGAGGAACCCUAACGUUCCUUCAGCAGGUCGGCGAGGAACCCUAACGUUCCUUCAGAAGGUCGGUGAGGAACACUAACGUUCCUUCAGAAGGUCGGUGAGGAACCCUAACGUUCCUUCAGCAGGUCGGCGAGGAACCCUAACGUUCCUUCAGAAGGUUGGCGAGGAACCCUAACGUUCCUUCAGAAGGUUGGCGAGGAACCCUAACGUUCCUUCAGAAGGUCGGCGAGGAACACUAACGUUCCUUCAGAAGGUCGGCGAGGAACACUAACGUUCCUUCAGAAGGUUGGUGAGGAACCCUAACGUUCCUUCAGCAGGUCGGCGAGGAACCCUAAUGUUCCUUCAGAAGGUCGGCGAGGAAACCUAACCCUUCUUACCCUCUCUGAGGCGCUGGCGAGUCUGGUGGCCGAGGCGUUGAAGGUGAGGGCUGCUAGAGGACUAUCAUGAGCAGGAAUCACAGUG